CGCGGCCUAUCAGCUUGUUGGUGGGGUAACGGCCCACCAAGGCAUCGACGGGUAGCUGGUUUGAGAGAACGAUCAGCCACACUGGGACUGAGACACGGCCCAGACUCCUACGGGAGGCAGCAGUGGGGAAUCUUGCGCAAUGGGCGAAAGCCUGACGCAGCAACGCCGCGUGCGGGAUGACGGCCUUCGUGGUUGUAAACCGCUUUCAGCAGGGACGAAAAUGACGGUACCUGCAGAAGAAGCCCCGGCUAACUACGUGCCAGCAGCCGCGGUAAUACGUAGGGGGCAAGCGUUGUCCGGAUUCAUUGGGCGUAAAGAGCUCGUAGGCGGUUCAGUAAGUCAAGUGUGAAAGCUCCGAGCUCAACUCGGAGAGGCCACUUGAUACUGCUGUGACUAGAAUCCAGUAGGGGAGCGUGGAACUCCUGGUGUAGCGGUGAAAUGCGCAGAUAUCAGGAAGAACACCAGCGGCGAAGGCGGCGCUCUGGGCUGGAAUUGACGCUGAGGAGCGAAAGUGUGGGUAGCAAACAGGAUUAGAUACCCUGGUAGUCCACACCGUAAACGUUGGGCACUAGGUGUGGGGAGGAUCAACCCUUUCCGUGCCGUAGCUAACGCAUUAAGUGCCCCGCCUGGGGAGUACGG
rnacentral:rRNA from 1 species